AAAAAUGCACAUGCUGUGAGCUCGAUGAGUAGGGCGGGACACGUGGUAUCCUGUCUGAAUAUGGGGGGACCAUCCUCCAAGGCUAAAUACUCCUGACUGACCGAUAGUGAACCAGUACCGUGAGGGAAAGGCGAAAAGAACCCCGGCGAGGGGAGUGAAAAAGAACCUGAAACCGUGUACGUACAAGCAGUGGGAGCACGCUUAGGCGUGUGACUGCGUACCUUUUGUAUAAUGGGUCAGCGACUUAUAUUCUGUAGCAAGGUUAACCGAAUAGGGGAGCCGAAGGGAAACCGAGUCUUAACUGGGCGUUAAGUUGCAGGGUAUAGACCCGAAACCCGGUGAUCUAGCCAUGGGCAGGUUGAAGGUUGGGUAACACUAACUGGAGGACCGAACCGACUAAUGUUGAAAAAUUAGCGGAUGACUUGUGGCUGGGGGUGAAAGGCCAAUCAAACCGGGAGAUAGCUGGUUCUCCCCGAAAGCUAUUUAGGUAGCGCCUCGUGAAUUCAUCUCCGGGGGUAGAGCACUGUUUCGGCAAGGGGGUCAUCCCGACUUACCAACCCGAUGCAAACUGCGAAUACCGGAGAAUGUUAUCACGGGAGACACACGGCGGGUGCUAACGUCCGUCGUGAAGAGGGAAACAACCCAGACCGCCAGCUAAGGUCCCAAAGUCAUGGUUAAGUGGGAAACGAUGUGGGAAGGCCCAGACAGCCAGGAUGUUGGCUUAGAAGCAGCCAUCAUUUAAAGAAAGCGUAAUAGCUCACUGGUCGAGUCGGCCUGCGCGGAAGAUGUAACGGGGCUAAACCAUGCACCGAAGCUGCGGCAGCGACGCUUAUGCGUUGUUGGGUAGGGGAGCGUUCUGUAAGCCUGUGAAGGUGUGCUGUGAGGCAUGCUGGAGGUAUCAGAAGUGCGAAUGCUGACAUAAGUAACGAUAAAGCGGGUGAAAAGCCCGCUCGCCGGAAGACCAAGGGUUCCUGUCCAACGUUAAUCGGGGCAGGGUGAGUCGACCCCUAAGGCGAGGCCGAAAGGCGUAGUCGAUGGGAAACAGGUUAAUAUUCCUGUACUUGGUGUUACUGCGAAGGGGGGACGGAGAAGGCUAUGUUGGCCGGGCGACGGUUGUCCCGGUUUAAGCGUGUAGGCUGGUUUUCCAGGCAAAUCCGGAAAAUCAAGGCUGAGGCGUGAUGACGAGGCACUACGGUGCUGAAGCAACAAAUGCCCUGCUUCCAGGAAAAGCCUCUAAGCAUCAGGUAACAUCAAAUCGUACCCCAAACCGACACAGGUGGUCAGGUAGAGAAUA
rnacentral:rRNA from 1 species